rnacentral:tRNA from 1 species
GCGGCCUUCUGCCCGAAUCUACGUGUAAUGCCCUCCGAAGGCAGAGGUCGCGCGUUCGAAUCGCGCCGGGUGCACCA